UUAUAAAUAAAGCCAGCGGCAAUUCCACCCUUCCCUAUUCGUCCCUCUUCUUUAUUCGGCCUCCGUGUUCACCGCAAAUUUCGUCCUUAUUCCGCCUCUGUGUUCACCGGUUUUCAAAUUCGUCUUCCGCUAUGUCUGUGAUGAUUGUGACAAGUUUGGGGGACAUGGUAGUUGAUUUGUUUACGGAUGAAUGUCCUUUGACAUGCAAAAAUUUUCUGAAAUUAUGCAAGAUAAAAUAUUAUCAUAAUUGUCUCUUUCAUACCGUUCGGAAGAAUUUCACAAUGCAGACGGGAGAUCCAACUGGAACAGGAUCCGGAGGGGAUUCGAUAUACAAAUUUUUAUACGGGGCUCAGGCACGUUUUUUUGGUGAUGAGAUUCAUCCAGACUUGAAGCAUUCAAAGAGGGGAACUGUUGCGAUGGCUAGCACUGGUACUGGUGAGAAGAAUCUAAAUGCUUCUCAGUUCUAUAUCACGUUACGUGAUGAUCUCGACUCCCUUGAUGGGGAGCAUACUGUUUUUGGAGAGAUUACAGAAGGGUUUGACACAUUGAAUAGGAUAAAUGAAGCUUAUGUGGAUGACAAGGGCAAGCCUUAUCAAAAUAUACGAAUCAAACACACUUACAUAUUGUAUGAUCCUUUCGAUGAUCCUUCCCAGUUAGACGACUUGAUUCCAGAUGCUUCACCUGAAAGAAAGCCGAAAGAUGAGAUUGAUGAUGAUGUUCGACUAGAGGAUGAUUGGAUGCCAAAGGAUGAGGAAUUAGGUGUUCGUGAAGAGAGGGAAGCACACUCCCGAGCAGUAAUACUUGAAAGUGUAGGAGACAUUCCUUAUGCUGAGAUGAAACCCCCUGACAAUGUGCUCUUUGUUUGUAAAUUAAAUCCGUCAACUAAAGAGGAAGCACUAUAUAUAAUCUUCUCACGCUUUGGAACCGUGACAUCUG
rnacentral:lncRNA from 1 species